rnacentral:rRNA from 1 species
AACGAACGCUGGCGGCAUGCCUAACACAUGCAAGUCGAACGAGACCUUCGGGUCUAGUGGCGCACGGGUUCGUAACGCGUGGGAACCUGCCCUUAGGUUCGGAAUAACUCCCCGACAGGGGUGCUAAUACCGGAUAAUGUCUUCGGACCAAGGAUUUAUUGCCUUUGGAGGGGCCCGCGUUGGAUUAGCUAGUUGGUAGGGUAAAAGCAUACCAAGGCGACGAUCCAUAGCUGGUCUGAGAGGAUGAUCAGCCACACUGCGACUGAGACACGGCCCGGACUCCUACGGGAGGCAGCAGUGGGGAAUAUUGGACAGUGGGGGAAGGCAUGAUCCAGCAAUGCCGCGUGAGUGAUGAAGGCCUUAGGGUUGUAAAGCGCUUUUACCCGGGAUGAUAAUGACAGUACCGGGAGAAUAAGCUCCGGCUAACUCCGUG